rnacentral:rRNA from 1 species
UACGUAGGGGACAAGCGUUGUCCGGAAUUAUUGGGCGUAAAGCGCGCGCAGGCGGCCUUUUAAGUCUGAUGUGAAAGCCCACGGCUCAACCGUGGAAGGUCAUUGGAAACUGAAAGGCUUGAGUACAGAAGAGGAAAGCGGAAUUCCACGUGUAGCGGUGAAAUGCGUAGAGAUGUGGAGGAACACCAGUGGCGAAGGCGCUUUCUGGUCUGUAACUGACGCUGAGGCGCGAAAGCGUGGGGAGCAAACAGG